CUUGUUUCGCUCUGUGCCCAUACUCUUUUGGGGCGGUCAUGGAUGCGGAGAUUGGCCCUCCGUGCCUCGUGUGCGGCGGGCUUAAGUGCGGGCUGUCGGUGUCGGGAUGGGCACGACGAGUGGUGGACGGAGCACCAGCAGGAUGUUGUGGUCCCCUGUCGCCUUAAGGGGCUCAAGAGACUCGAACUAGGCGAGUCGCCCUCCGUACGAGGAGGGCGGGCUGUCUCGCAAU
rnacentral:misc_RNA from 1 species